UACGUAGGCAGCGAGCGUUGUUCGGAGUUACUGGGCGUAAAGGGAGCGUAGGCGGACAGUUUAGUCAGAGGUGAAAGCCCAGGGCUCAACCUUGGAAUUGCCUUUGAUACUGAUUGUCUUGAGUUUGGGAGAGGUGUGUGGAACUCCGAGUGUAGAGGUGAAAUUCGUAGAUAUUCGGAAGAACACCAGUGGCGAAGGCGACACACUGGCCCAAUACUGACGCUGAGGCUCGAAAGCGUGGGGAGCAAACAGG
rnacentral:rRNA from 1 species